AAUGAACGUUGGCGGCGUGGAUUAGGCAUGCAAGUCGCGCGAUUUCCUUCGGGGAAGAGCAGCGGAAGGGAGAGUAACACGUAGAUACCUACCCUCGGGACUGGAAUAGCGACGGGAAACUGUCGGUAAUGCCAGAUAACGUCCCUGGACCAAAGGUGUGAAUCCGCCUGAGGAGGGGUCUGCGUCCUAUUAGCUAGUUGGCGGGGUAACGGCCCACCAAGGCGAAGAUGGGUACCGGGCGUGAGAGCGUGACCCGGCUCACUGGGACUGAGACACUGCCCAGACACCUACGGGUGGCUGCAGUCGAGAAUCUUCGGCAAUGAGCGCAAGCUUGACCGAGCGACGCCGCGUGCGGGAUGAAGGCUUUCGGGUUGUAAACCGCUGUCAGUGGGGAGGAAAUUCUUGGGGGUACUCCCCCUUGAUUGACCGAUCCGCAGAGGAAGGACGGGCUAAGUUCGUGCCAGCCGCCGCCGUAACAC
rnacentral:rRNA from 1 species